rnacentral:rRNA from 1 species
CUAGUUGGCGGGGUAAUGGCCCACCAAGGCAACGAUGGGUAGCAGGUGUGAGAGCAUGACCUGCCUCAUUGGGACUGAGACACUGCCCAGACACCUACGGGUGGCUGCAGUCGAGAAUCUUCGGCAAUGGACGAAAGUCUGACCGAGCGACGCCGCGUGCGGGAUGAAGGCCUUCGGGUUGUAAACCGCUGUCGGAGGGGAACAAAUGUACGGGGGUACUCCCCUGUAUUUGAGUGAACCUAGGAGGAAGGAGAGGCUAAGCUCGUGCCAGCAGCCGCGGUAAGACGAGCUCUCCGAACGUUAUUCGGUAUCACUGGGCUUAAAGAGUUCGUAGGCGGUCUGGUAGGUGAGGUGUGAAAUCCCCCGGCUCAACCGGGGAACUGCGCUUCAAACCGCCGGACUUGAGGGAGACAGAGGUGGGCGGAACAGAUGGUGGAGCGGUGAAAUGCGUUGAUAUCAUCUGGAACACCGGUGGCGAAAGCGGCCCACUGGGUCUUUUCUGACGCUGAGGAACGAAAGCUAGGGUAGCGAACGGGAUUAGAUACCCCGGUAGUCCUAGCCGUAAACGAUGAGCACUAGCCCGUGGGGACUUUCACAUCCUCUCGGGCGUAGCGAAAGUGUUAA